GGCAUUGGGUAGUUUAGUGGUAGAACACCGGCAUCGCAUGCUGGAGACCCAGGUUCAAUCCUGGUCCAACCG
rnacentral:tRNA from 1 species